rnacentral:rRNA from 1 species
GAUGAACGCUGGCGGCGUGCCUAAUACAUGCAAGUCGAGCGAACGGACGAGAAGCUUGCUUCUCUGAUGUUAGCGGCGGACGGGUGAGUAACACGUGGAUAACCUACCUAUAAGACUGGGAUAACUUCGGGAAACCGGAGCUAAUACCGGAUAAUAUUUUGAACCGCAUGGUUCAAAAGUGAAAGACGGUCUUGCUGUCACUUAUGGAUGGAUCCGCGCUGCAUUAGCUAGUUGGUAAGGUAACGGCUUACCAAGGCAACGAUGCGUAGCCGACCUGAGAGGGUGAUCGGCCACACUGGAACUGAGACACGGUCCAGACUCCUACGGGAGGCAGCAGUAGGGAAUCUUCCGCAAUGGGCGAAAGCCUGACGGAGCAACGCCGCGUGAGUGAUGAAGGUCUUCGGAUCGUAAAACUCUGUUAUUAGGGAAGAACAUAUGUGUAAGUAACUGUGCACGUCUUGACGGUACCUAAUCAGAAAGCCACGGCUAACUACGUG